rnacentral:rRNA from 1 species
UACAUGGGGUGCAAACGUUGCUCGGAAUUAUUGGGCGUAAAGCGCACGUAGGCGGUUUGUUAAGUCGGAUGUGAAAUCCCUCGGCUCAACUGAGGAAGUGCAUCCGAAACUGGCAGGCUUGAGUACUAAAGAGGGUCGCGGAAUUCCCGGUGUAGAGGUGAAAUUCGUAGAUAUCGGGAGGAACACCGGUGGCGAAGGCGGCACUCUGGGCCGGAACUGACGCUGAGGAGCGAAAGCGUGGGGAGCGAACAGG